rnacentral:rRNA from 1 species
UGAGUACGACGGAGCACGUGAAAUUCCGUCGGAAUCUGGGAGGACCAUCUCCUAAGGCUAAAUACUCUCUAGUGACCGAUAGUGAACCAGUACCGUGAGGGAAAGGUGAAAAGCACCCCGGAAGGGGAGUGAAAUAGAACCUGAAACCGUGUGCUUACAAGUAGUCAGAGCCCGUUAAUGGGUGAUGGCGUGCCUUUUGUAGAAUGAACCGGCGAGUUACGAUUUGAUGCAAGGUUAA